UUCGAGUGGCGGACGGGUGAGUAACGCGUGGGUAACCUGCCUUACACAGGGGGAUAACACCUGGAAACAGGUGCUAAUACCGCAUAAGCGCACAGGGCCGCAUGGCCCGGUGUGAAAAACUCCGGUGGUGUAAGAUGGACCCGCGUCUGAUUAGCUUGUUGGCGGGGUAGGGGCCCACCAAGGCGACGAUCAGUAGCCGGCCUGAGAGGGCGGACGGCCACACUGGUACUGAGACACGGACCAGACUCCUACGGAAGGCAGCAG
rnacentral:rRNA from 1 species